UGAACGCUGGCGGCGUGCUUAACACAUGCAAGUCGAACGAGAAAGGGAUUGCUUGCAAUCCUGAGUAGAGUGGCGCACGGGUGAGUAACACGUAGAUAAUCUACCUUCAAGACCGGGAUAACUAAUCGAAAGGCUAGCUAAUACCGGAUGAAGUAUAUGAACAUAAGUUUAUAUAUGAAAGGUUGCCUCUUCUUGAAAGCAAUCACUUGGAGAUGAGUUUGCGUACCAUUAGCUUGUUGGUGGGGUAAAGGCCUACCAAGGCUACGAUGGUUAGCUGGUCUGAGAGGAUGAUCAGUCACACUGGAACUGAAACACGGUCCAGACUCCUACGGGAGGCAGCAGUGAGGAAUUUUGCGCAAUGGGGGUAACCCUGACGCAGCAACGCCGCGUGAGUGAAGAAGGCCUUUGGGUCGUAAAGCUCUGUCAACUGGGAAGAAAUUAGAUUAUAUUAAUAGUGUAUUCUAUUGACGGUACCAGUGGAGGAAGCGCCGGCUAACUCC
rnacentral:rRNA from 1 species